rnacentral:rRNA from 1 species
UGGGGAAUAUUGCACAAUGGAGGGAACUCUGAUGCAGCGACACCGCGUGAACGAAGAAGGCUUUCGAGUCGUAAAGUUCUUUUAUAUGGGAAGAUAAUGACGGUACCAUAAGAAAAAGCCCCGGCUAACUACGUGCCAGCAGCCGCGGUAAUACGUAGGGGGCUAGCGUUGUCCGGAAUCACUGGGCGUAAAGGGUUCGCAGGCGGAAAUGCAAGUCAGGUGUAAAAGGCAGUAGCUUAACUACUGUAAGCAUUUGAAACUGCAUAUCUUGAGAAGAGUAGAGGUAAGUGGAAUUUUUAGUGUAGCGGUGAAAUGCGUAGAUAUUAAAAAGAAUACCGGUGGCGAAGGCGACUUACUGGGCUCAUUCUGACGCUGAGGAACGAAAGCGUGGGUAGCAAACAGG